GGAUGAACGCUGGCGGCGUGCCUAAUACAUGCAAGUCGAGCGAACAGACGAGGAGCUUGCUCCUCUGACGUUAGCGGCGGACGGGUGAGUAACACGUGGAUAACCUACCUAUAAGACUGGGAUAACUUCGGGAAACCGGAGCUAAUACCGGAUAACAUGUUGAACCGCAUGGUUCAACAGUGAAAGACGGUCUUGCUGUCACUUAUAGAUGGAUCCGCGCCGCAUUAGCUAGUUGGUAAGGUAACGGCUUACCAAGGCAACGAUGCGUAGCCGACCUGAGAGGGUGAUCGGCCACACUGGAACUGAGACACGGUCCAGACUCCUACGGGAGGCAGCAGUAGGGAAUCUUCCGCAAUGGGCGAAAUCCUGACGGAGCAACGCCGCGUGAGUGAAGAAGGUCUUCGGAUCGUAAAACUCUGUUAUUAGGGAAGAACAAAUGUGUAAGUAACUAUGCACGUCUUGACGGUACCUAAUCAGAAAGCCACGGCUAACUACGUG
rnacentral:rRNA from 1 species